rnacentral:rRNA from 1 species
AUGGGCUGCUGCGUCAGCAAGAAGUGCGGCGAGCCGCCGGGCGCGGCCGAUGGGAGGAAGGCCGUGGAGGCCCGCGACCUGCCGCCGCCCGAGGAGGAGAAGGUCAAGGAGGUGCUCUCGGAGACGCCGCGCGUCAAGCCGCGGUCCAGGGCCAGGCGCGUCGCUGGCGGCACGGUGGUGGCGCCGUCGGCGGAGAAGGCCAGGGCCAAGGACGGCCAUGGCGUCGGCGGCAGGGUCAGCAGGCCCGCGCGCUCCGUCGAGGAGAAGUCGGAGGCGGCGUCCGAGUCGUCGGCCGCGACCACGGUGGCCGGGCCCGAGCGGUCCCCGUCCAAGCCGCCCAGGUGCCGGCAGGGAAGGGCCGCGCCCGGUGGCGAGCUCAGGCGCGCCAGGCGGGACCGAGACCACGGCGCGGCCACCCCCGGCGGGCGCGGGCGCGCGUCCCAGUCGCCCCCGCCUCCGCGGCGCGACCCCGGGCGGAGGUCGCCGUCGCCGGCCGCGAAGCGGGCGCAGGACCAGCGCCGCGACACCGCCGGCUCGGCCUCGUGCGCGCAGAGAAAGCCGCCCGUGCCCGCGAGGCCAUGCGGCCGCACGCCGACGCCGCCCCGUGGGCAGGAGGUGCCUCCCCAGCCAUCGCCGGCGCCACCGGCGGCGGCGAAGCCACUCCCGCACGGUCCUCCUACGCAAUGUGCGUCCCCACCGACGCCACAGGUACCGGAGCAGGAGGAUACGGAUACUCCCCCGGGCAGCGACGGCGACGCUGCGGCCGGUGGCGGCGAGGGCGAGGGGAAGGAGUCCCUGGAGAACCCCCUGGUGUCCAUGGAAUGCUUCAUCUUCCUGUGA